UAAGGAAUAUUGGUCAAUGGGCGGAAGCCUGAACCAGCCAUGCCGCGUGCAGGAAGACGGCCUUAUGGGUUGUAAACUGCUUUUGACGGGGAAAAAACGCCGAUACGUGUAUUGGUUUGCUUGUACCUGUUGAAUAAGCAUCGGCUAACUCUGUGCCAGCAGCCGCGGUAAUACAGAGGUCCCGAGCGUUGUUCGGAUUCACUGGGCGUAAAGGGUGCGUAGGUGGUGAGGUAAGUCGGAUGUGAAAUCUCGGAGCUUAACUCCGAAAUGGCAUUGGAAACUGCCUUGCUAGAGGUUCGGAGGGGGGACUGGAAUACUUGGUGUAGCAGUGAAAUGCGUAGAUAUCAAGUGGAACACCAGUGGCGAAGGCGAGUCCCUGGACGGUUACUGACGCUGGGACGCGAAAGCGUGGGGAGCAAACA
rnacentral:rRNA from 1 species